UUAGGGUUUUAAAAGACAAUGUUUUACUUUAUAAAGUGACAAACAUAUUCAUAAUCCUUUGUAGAGGCAGAUUAAUUUCAACUCUAGACGGAUAAACUACAGCUCCCACAAGUCUAACACUAACUAUAUGAUGGAGGCUGAAAAGUCAAAUUUAGAUGGUGAUAAGAGUAAUGCUUAAGGAUGCCCAUUACCCACUCAGCCUUGUCCCCAAAAUACAGGCGCUCCUGCCACUUUUUAGGUGUUUUUUCUCUAAGAGCUUUCAUUUCCAUUCACCAAAAGAAUGGGGGAUGAGAGGGAGACCAAUUUAAUAGGCAAAUAUACUACAUUUGCAUAUAUAAUGAAGUACUUGCCUAUAUUCUGUUAUCUCUGAAAAAUAUAAUACUGGCAGGGUUUUUUACUAAAGCAGUAAUUGUCUGGAAAUGACCAUGGGAAUGAAUAUAUAAUAACAAAAUAACUUGAUGGAGGCGGGAUUUGCAAUCCAUUGUCCGUUCCAAACUAUUGCUGGUAUAGUGAAUAAUCCUGUACAAUUUAAUCACUUUACGUUUAGUUGUAGUCUAUUUGGGACAGAUGGAUGUUCAAGCAUUUUCCACAUUUAUCAUUGGCAUCAUAACCAAUCUCACAUUUUUCAAACAAGAGGACUCUAGGAAAUGGCAUAACUAAGGAAAAUGUUGAGUGCGCGCUAUAAAUCUAAUUUGUAAGACUGAUAUAUGCCAAAAAUAUUUUUAAUAAAUACUUUUAUAUUAUAUUUACAUAUACACAGACAUAUAUGCAUAUGCAUAUACAUGCA